UACGGAGGGUGCAAACGUUGCUCGGAAUCAUUGGGCGUAAAGCGCACGUAGGCGGACCGCUAAGUCGGAUGUGAAAGCCCUCGGCUUAACCGAGGAAGUGCACUCGAAACUGACGGUCUUGAGUAUGGAAGAGGGUCGCGGAAUUCCCGGUGUAGAGGUGAAAUGCGUAGAGAUCCGGCGGAACACCGGUGGUGAAGGCAAUCUCCUGGGCCUGCACUGACGCUCAUGCACGAAAGCGUGGGGAGCAAACAGG
rnacentral:rRNA from 1 species